UUCAGUGAUGAAAACGGCUGCAUAGGAAGUGCCGUCUGAUGCGAUAACUGACGAUGGAAAGCUGUUCUGAGA
ensembl:snoRNA